GUCCCAUUCAACUAAGUAGGCUUUGCCAUCUUUCUUCUUGUUAUAAUAUUUCUUUUUCUUCUUGUCACUUUCAUCUUUGCCCUUCUUCUUCUUGCUUGGGCAAUUCAUGGCAAUGUGACCGGGUUCCCCACACUCAAAACACUUUCUAUCAUUGAAAGCACUUCUUCUAGAUGUUUGACCUCUUCUAGGUUGACCUCUCUUCAUCUUCAUGAAUUUAUUGAAUUUCCUUACAAAUAAAGCCAUGUCACCAUCACUCUCACUUUCAUUUUCUUCAUCAUUGCUAUCUUCUUUUUCAAUUGCCUUUGAGGCCUUGGCUUUGAGAGCAAUAGAUUCAUUUUUCACUUUCUUUGCCAAACUUAAAGCAUCGGCUUG
rnacentral:lncRNA from 1 species